rnacentral:rRNA from 1 species
UACGUAGGGAGCAAGCGUUGUCCGGAAUCAUUGGGCGUAAAGCGCGCGUAGGCGGCCCUGGUAAGUCCGCUGUGAAAGUCAAAGGCUCAACCUUUGAAAGCCGGUGGAUACUGCAGGGCUAGAGUCCGGAAGAGGCGAGUGGAACUCCUGGUGUAGCGGUGGAAUGCGCAGAUAUCAGGAAGAACACCAACAGCGAAGGCAGCUCGCUGGGACGGUACUGACGCUGAGGUGCGAAAGCGUGGGGAGCGAACAGG